rnacentral:rRNA from 1 species
CCUACGGGAGGCAGCAGUGGGGAAUAUUGCACAAUGGGGGAAACCCUGAUGCAGCAACGCCGCGUGAGUGAUGAAGGUCUUCGGAUUGUAAAGCUCUGUCUUUUGGGACGAUAAUGACGGUACCAAAGGAGGAAGCCACGGCUAACUACGUGCCAGCAGCCGCGGUAAU